rnacentral:rRNA from 1 species
UACGUAGGGGGCAAGCGUUGUCCGGAUUUACUGGGCGUAAAGCGCGUGUAGGCGGAGAAGCAAGUCCGGUGUGAAAGCCCCCGGCUCAACCGGGGAAGGUCGCUGGAAACUGCUUUUCUUGAGGACGACAGAGGGAAGUGGAAUUGCUGGUGUAGCGGUGAAAUGCGUAGAGAUCAGCAGGAACACCCGUGGCGAAGGCGGCUUCCCGGGUCGUGCCUGACGCUGAGACGCGAAAGCGUGGGGAGCGAAC